GGAAGCCGAGCUGUUGAGUCAGUGCUGCAGAGCUGCCUGCGAGAGCAGAGAGAGGCACAGCUGCAAAGGACAGAUCUGCUGAGCCACGGGAAAAUGGUUUGAGUAAUAAUCAACGCCUGCGGCUAUGUGGCCAGGAGGAUGAGGAGCCUGUGCAGCCGGGAGCCACGGGAGCCACCGCCCUGCCCGGCACAGGCAGCGCCACAGAGCCGGCACCGGGAUGUAAAACCAGAGCUACCAGCACCCCCUGAAGCACCAGCCUCACUCCCCAGCAACACCAAACCCAGCCAGUGCAGGUCCUGACAAUAAAUCCCUCAUGGUCCUCCCAUGAAGGCCACAAGAUUCCUUCCCACUGAUUUUUGCUGGAUAUCCUUCAUCCCAGGGAUUGGAAAAUAUCAGCAAAUCCCUGCUGGAUCUGCUCUCAUCACAGAAGCACAUUGCUAGAAAAUGUCCUGAUUAGUGUCUCAUGACCAGAAUUUUCUGGUUGGCAGGGGGAAAAAAAAGAAGAUUUCUAAUGUGUAACAGGAGAUUCCCAAUGAGUAUCAGAAGAUCCCCAGUGUGUAUCAGGAGAUUCCCAAUGUGUAUCACAAGAACCCCAAGGUGUGUCAGAAGAUUUCCAAGGUGUAUCAGAAGAUUCCCAAUGUGUGUUAGAAGAUUCCCAAGGUGGAUCACAAGAUACCCAAUGUGUAUCAGGAGAUCCCCAAUGUGUAUCAGAUUUCCAAUGUAAAUCAGAAGAUUCCCAGUGUGUAUCAGAAGGUUCCCAGUAUGUAUCAGAAGAUUCCCAAUGUAUAUCAGAAGGUUCCCAGUGUGUGUCAGAAGGUUCCCAGUGUGUGUCAGAAGAUUCCCAGUGUGUAUCAGAAGAUCCCCAACAUGUAUCAGAAGAUUCCCAAUGUGUGUCAGAAGAUUCCCAAUGCGUAUCAGAAGAUUCCCAAUGUGUAUCAGGAGAUUCCCAAGGUGUGUCAGAAGAUUCCCAAUGUGUAUCAGAAGAUCCCCAACAUGUAUCAGGAGAUUCCCAAUGUGUGUUAGAAGAUUCCCAAUGUGUAUCACAAGAUCCCCAACGUGUAUCAGGAGAUUCCCAGUGUGUAUAAGAAGAUUCCCAAAGUGUAUCAGAUGUUCCUGGCACCCGUGGGCCAUGGAACCCCAGGGGAAGGGCAGGAGCCAUUGCGUCCUAGCAGGGAAAUCGAUUUUUAUACAGCGAAACCAAAUUAUGCUCCCAGCGAUGUUGGUACAAAUUCAGACAAUUUCCAAAUCAGCUCCUGGGAUGGAAUAAGGAGUUUUGGAGCUCGGGUGUGUGGGAAUCCCUUUCCCAAGCCCAGUGCAGCACCCCCAGAGCAGAGGCUGUCCCCAACCCUGCCCUGUCACAGAGCAAUGACAGCAGGGCCCCAAAGCCCACAGCUGUGGGGGGGACCCUGCCUGACCCCUCCUGUGACAGCGGGACCACAGUAAAGGUGGAUGAAAUCA